rnacentral:tRNA from 1 species
GGACGCGUGCCUGAAUAUUAAGGAUUACUUUGAUAGAGUACCCCACGGGGGUUAAAAUCCCCUCGCCUCC